rnacentral:rRNA from 1 species
UCCUACGGGGGGCUGCAGCUAAGAAUAUUCCGCAAUGGACGAAAGUCUGACGGAGCGACGCCGCGUGGAUGAGGAAGGCCGAAAGGUUGUAAAGUCCUUUUGCCGAUGAAGAAUAAGGGUGGGAGGGAAUGCCUGCCUGAUGACGUUAGUCGGCGAAUAAGCCCCGGCUAAUUACGUGCCAGCAGCCGCGGUAACACGUAAGGGGCGAGCGUUGUUCGGAAUUAUUGGGCGUAAAGGGUACGUAGGCGGUUACGCAAGCCCGGCGUGAAAUCCUGCAGCUUAACUGUAGAGCUGCGCUGGGAACUGCGAAACUUGAGUCAUGGAAGGGAAGUUAGAAUUCCAGGUGUAGGGGUGAAAUCUGUAGAUAUCUGGAAGAAUACCGGUGGCGAAGGCGAACUUCUGGCCAAUGACUGACGCUGAGGUACGAAAGUGCGGGGAGCAAACAGGAUUAGAUACCCUUGUAGUCU